UACGGAGGGUGCAAGCGUUAUCCGGAUUCACUGGGUUUAAAGGGUGCGUAGGUGGGUCUGAAAGUCAGUGGUGAAAUCUCCGUGCUUAACAUGGAAACUGCCAUUGAUACUUCAGGUCUUGAAUUUUCUGGAGGUAAGCGGAAUAUGUCAUGUAGCGGUGAAAUGCUUAGAUAUGACAUAGAACACCAAUUGCGAAGGCAGCUUACUACGGGAAUAUUGACACUGAGGCACGAAAGCGUGGGGAUCAAACAGG
rnacentral:rRNA from 1 species